rnacentral:lncRNA from 1 species
UAACGAGUGCAACACAAUGGAGGUGCGUGGAUCGGUUUAGGGUGGCAAAUAGCGAUCUAUUUGGGCCCAAGCUUCAACGGCCUGAAAUCGGGUCCAACACAACAAACCAAAGCAAGGUUCAAAUUCUUCAGGAGUGCCAUUGUAACACCCCAAUUUUGACCCUAAGAUCCCUCACGCUAUCUCAUCAUAUGCAUUAGCAUUGGGAUCACACAUUGGCAUCC